CAGUCGCCGCGGUAAUACGGAGGGGGCUAGCGUUGUUCGGAAUUGCUGGGCGUAAAGCGCACGUAGGCGGCAUGGUGAGUUAGAGGUGAAAGCCUGGAGCUCAACUCCAGAAUUGCCUUUAAGACUGCCGAGCUAGCAGGUGAGAGAGGUAAGUGGAAUUCCGAGUGUAGAGGUGAAAUUCGUGGAUAUUCGGAAGAACACCAGUGGCGAAGGCGGCUUACUGGCUCAUACUGGACGCUGAGGUGCGAAAGCGUGGGGAGCAAACAGGAUUAGAUACCCCCGUAGUCCCUGUCUCUUAUAA
rnacentral:rRNA from 1 species